GCUGAUCCCUUUCGCUGUAUGGCGUGCUCGUUUGAGUUGGGCGUCGGCUAAGAGUGCUCGGAGCGUGGAUUAACUCCAGUCUCCUAUCAGGUGUGUAUUUCUUACUACUCUAGCUGUAGAAUGGCUACUUCGGGCCGCGAUGGGCCGAAAGGGGUCAUGUGGGCCUACGGGCCCAAUUGGAUAAGUUGUUUGAUUGUGUAGUAAAUAUUGGGCUAGGCUAGGUGAAUCUAAUAUUUGUGGCUAGAUUUGGGCUAAAAGGGCAACACGAGCGUGUGGGCCCAUUUGGGCCAAUAAUGGGUUUUAGGGCCAUUAGUAUUGUUAUCCAUGUUUAGAAGGGGUCAUUCGAGCGUAUCUAAAUAGAUACUAUGUUUACAUAUGGAUCCCUACAUUGUUACAUUCCAUUUAGGAUUAGGAAUGGGCGUAAUCGGGCCUUCUUUUUACAUAUCUCUCGUUAUUUGGGACCCUAUUCACCUCUUUUCUUUUUUUCUUCUAUUGAAUCGAGAAAUAAAUAGGUUUGAUUGUCCAUCUUUUUAAUAUAAUCUAUAUAUAUUUAAUAUAAUCUUAAUAUAGACAUCCUCCGGAUACUUCAAAUCGAAGCAAUUGGAUGUCCGACUCGGGCCUAUAUGACAUGACCGAUCAAUAGAAAUACUUCAACACUCCACCUUUGUCAUAUAUUCCAUACAUCACACUAGAUAGAUAUCAUAUUCAUGGAAUAGUUUACCAAUUAUUGGAAUACCCACGACUUGUAAAAUUACUAAAGUACCCUUGAUUUACAUAAUUAUCGUUUUACCCUCGAUUUACAGAAUUACCGUUUUACCCUCGAUAUAUAGAAUUACUAUUUUACCCUUGAUUUAUAGAAUUACUAUUUUACCCUCGAUUUACAAAAUUACUAAAAUACCCUUGGUUUACAAAAUUACCAAAAUACCCUCGAUCAGUAAAAUUACCAAAAUACCCUGGUCUGUAAAUUGCUAAAAUAUUCCUGGUUUGUAAAAUUACCAAAAUACCCCUAGUUUGUAAAAUUACCAAAAUAGCACUAGUUUGUGAAAUUACCGAAAUACUCUCAAUUUGUAAAAUUACCAAAAUAUCCCUAAUUUACAAAAUUACAAAAAUACCCUUAACUUUCUAAAAAUUAUAGAAAUACCAUUGGUUUACAAAAUUACUGAAAUACCCUUGGUUUGUAGAUUUACCAAAACACCUUUGUAGGGAGAAAUGACUAAAAUACCCCUAUUAGGUAAAAAGACCGUAAAGACCCUAUAGGGUAAAGUGACCGUAAUACCCCUGUAUGGUAAAAUGAUGAAUACGCCCUUAUGUUCCGUAUGACUGAUGUGCUUAGGAUUUAAAUAUAUUGAUAUUGGAUUAGUUAAGUUUGAGUGACAGGUGGUGGUUAUCGUAGGAGAUUGAUUUUGGAAACGUUUCAACUUCAACCCGUAACAAGUGUGUACUAACCCUCGUAAUAGCUUAGAUUAAUAUUUGCUGAGAAGCCGAAAUGCUAAAAUACCGGUAUUUCGGGAACUUAUAAUGUUGCGUUUGGGUACAGAUGCGAUAAAUAUGAUAAGAUCGGUGUUUGGAUCGAUGGAACAUGUAAGAACUCAAUUUUGUGCACGAUGGUAAGUUGGGCCUCAAUGGGCUAGAAUCGGGCCCAAUGGGCUUUAGGCCCAUUUGGGUAAAACUGAUAGAAAAUGGAAUCUAGAAAAGUUGCAUGUUAACACGGUUAGUACUAUUGUAAAAUUUGGAUUAUGUGGGCUUAAUGGGCUAAAUCGGCAUUCGUAGGGCCCAUUAGAGGUUUUGGGCCCAAAAGCCCGAGUUUGAUAAAGUAGGUUAAAGAUCAUUGUUUAAACACUCAGAAAUAUUGAUAAUUGUUGAUGAACAUGGAAAACCCUGAUAUUUGGAAAAAUUACGAAAUUACCCUUAUAAUGUGAAAAAUGACUGUUUUGCCCUUGUGGGCAAGUGACUGACUUGGACUGUAUGGUUGACGGAUUUGAUUGUGAAUAUAUGUUGGUGAUAUGAAUGACUUGAUUGUGAUUGUUUCAUUCAAAUAUGGGCAUGACAUUCUGCAUACAUGACAUGUUGCAUGGGUUGGGUUUUAUAAAUGGAGGAAGUGCUAAAAGGGCUAUGCCCCAGUUUAUCGAAAAGGGCUUUACCCCAGUUUACCAAAAAGGGCUUUGCCCUAGUUUAUCAAAAGGGCUUUGCCCCAGUUAUUAAAAGAGGCCUCUAGAUAUAUGAUAAAGCAGCUAUGCUGCCAGUGGUGUGUUGGUUGGGUUGGUUGAAUCAUUCCCCACAUGGUGUGUUGGUUGGUACGGGUGGAGUGUAGCGGAUGAUGGGUCGAGUAGUCUCCCCAAAUGGGCUUGCAUACAUCCAUUAACAUUACAUGUGAUAUUGAAAUGGGCCUAAGGGCCAUAACGUUUACAGUAAAGGCUUCGGCCCAAUGAUAUGAUUUAUAAAAGGCUUCGGCCCAGUGAUAUGAUUUAUGAAAAGGCUUCGGCCCAGAGAUAUGAUUUAUGAUAAGGCUUCGGCCCAGUGAUAUGAUUUAUGAAAAGGCUUCGGCCCAGUAAUCGUUAAACAAAAGGCUUCGGCCCAGUAUAUGCCAAGACUAAAUAGGGCUUUGGCCCAAAUUGUACUGACACUGUGUUUUCACUGUUUGUUUGUUAUUGAGAUUACACACUGAGUUUUCGUAAACUCACCCCAUUUCUAACUGUGCAGGUAAUCCCUAAGCUUAGAUGGUUUGGAGCUGCGAGGGACUCGGAGAUGGCCACACUACUGUUUCUGGUUCUUUAAAUUGCAAUAAGUAGCUGAUUUAUUUCUUUAUAUGUUUUAUCUUAUUAAUAUUAUUAUUUGAUUUUGGGUUGUAAUAAGGCCAUUUUAAUUAUUUUUCUGGGAUUAUUUUAUUUAUACCCUAUAUUUUUCUGAUAACAAUAUGAGUUAGAUCUAGGGCGCAUUUCCAAAAUGAUAAUUGUUUUCAAAAUAAACGCA
rnacentral:lncRNA from 1 species